rnacentral:rRNA from 1 species
CGUGUAGGCGGUCCAGAUAGGUCCGUUGUGAAAACUCGAGGCUCAACCUCGAGACGCCGAUGGAAACCAUUUGGCUAGAGUCCGGAAGAGGAGAGUGGAAUUCCUGGUGUAGCGGUGAAAUGCGCAGAUAUCAGGAAGAACACCCGUGGCUAAGGCGGCUCUCUAGUACGGUACUGACGCUGAGACGCGAAAGCGUGGGAGCGAACA